rnacentral:rRNA from 1 species
AUUGAACGCUGGCGGAAUGCUUUACACAUGCAAGUCGAACGGCAGCACGGACUUCGGUCUGGUGGCGAGUGGCGAACGGGUGAGUAAUGUAUCGGAACGUGCCCAGUCGUGGGGGAUAACGUAGUGAAAAUUACGCUAAUACCGCAUACGAUCUAUGGAUGAAAGCGGGGGAUCGCAAGACCUCGCGCGAUUGGAGCGGCCGAUAUCAGAUUAGGUAGUUGGUGGGGUAAAGGCCCACCAAGCCAACGAUCUGUAGCUGGUCUGAGAGGACGACCAGCCACACUGGAACUGGGACACGGUCCAGACUCCUACGGGAGGCAGCAGUGGGGAACUUUGGACAAUGGGCGAAAGCCUGAUCCAGCCAUUCCGCGUGCAGGAUGAAGGCCCUCGGGUUGUAAACUGCUUUUGUACAGAACGAAAAGGUUUCUACUAAUACUAGGAGCUCAUGACGGUACUGUAAGAAUAAGCACCAGCUAACUACGUGCCAGCCGCCGCCGUAA